UGGGGAAUAUUGGACAAUGGGCGAAAGCCUGAUCCAGCCAUGCCGCGUGUGUGAAGAAGGUCUUCGGAUUGUAAAGCACUUUAAGUUGGGAGGAAGGGCAGUAAGCGAAUACCUUGCUGUUUUGACGUUACCGACAGAAUAAGCACCGGCUAACUCUGUGCCAGCAGCCGCGGUAAGACAGAGGGUGCAAGCGUUAAUCGGAAUUACUGGGCGUAAAGCGCGCGUAGGUGGUUCGUUAAGUUGAAUGUGAAAGCCCCGGGCUCAACCUGGGAACUGCAUCCAAAACUGGCGAGCUAGAGUAGGGCAGAGGGUGGUGGAAUUUCCUGUGUAGCGGUGAAAUGCGUAGAUAUAGGAAGGAACACCAGUGGCGAAGGCGACCACCUGGGCUCAUACUGACACAGAGGUGCGAAAGCGUGGGGAGCAAACAGG
rnacentral:rRNA from 1 species